UACGUAGGGGGCAAGCGUUGUCCGGAAUCAUUGGGCGUAAAGAGCGCGUAGGCGGUCCGGUAAGUCCGCUCUGAAAGUCCGGGGCUCAACCCCGGGAGGCGGGCGGAUGCUGUCGGGCUAGAGUCCGGAAGAGGCGAGUGGAAUUCCUGGUGUAGCGGUGAAUUGCGCAGAUAUCAGGAGGAACACCAAUGGCGAAGGCAGCUCGCUGGGACGGUACUGACGCUGAGGCACGAAAGCGUGGGUAGCAAACAGG
rnacentral:rRNA from 1 species